UACGGAGGGUGCGAGCGUUGUCCGGAAUCACUGGGCGUAAAGGGCGCGUAGGUGGCGCGGGCAGUCAACGGUGAAAGUUCGGGGCUCAACCCUGAAUCGGCCGUUGAUACUCCCGGGCUUGAGCACUGUAGAGGCAGAUGGAAUUCCGGGUGUAGCGGUGGAAUGCGUAGAGAUCCGGAAGAACACCGGUGGCGAAGGUGGUCUGCUGGGCAGUUGCUGACACUGAGGCGCGACAGCGUGGGGAGCAAACAGG
rnacentral:rRNA from 1 species